AGCAGCCGCGGUAAUUCCAGCUCCAAUAGCGUAUAUUAAAGUUGUUGCAGUUAAAAAGCUCGUAGUUGAAUUUCGGGAUUGACGUGACGGUCGUGCCUUAAGGGGUAUGAACUGUUACAGUCAAUUUCUCACCUUCUGGAGAAAUAUGAUGUCCUUAAUUGGGUGUCAUAUGGAACCAGAACUUUUACCUUGAAAAAAUUAGAGUGUUUAAAGCAAGCUUAUUGCUCGAAUACAUUAGCAUGGAAUAAUAAAAUAGGACGGCAUGGUUCUAUUUUGUUGGUUUCUAGGAUCACCGUAAUGAUUAAUAGGGAUAGUUGGG
rnacentral:rRNA from 1 species